UUCUGCCCAACAGGAAAAGGCAUUAAAGGAAAAUAAAAGACCCAAAACACUAACCCCCCUGCUCCACCACCUUAAUAUUAAUCAAAUAAGCCACUAAAACCAAAGGUGCUUAAAUUGUUUGGCAUUUGAGCUAUGAAUGGAAUCUGCUUGCCUAUGCUCCUUGCAGUGAAAAAUACCCUUUCCUGAAUAAUUAACUUAGCUGAAGAAGCUUAUAAAUUCUUUGUAAGUCCUUUUUCCUUCCGACUAGCGAGAAGAAAAUUUUCCACCCCUCACAAUUACAAUCCCGAUGAUGGAUGAGUGUCACGAAAUAUCUGGGACCAGCAGAGAAGGUCAUGGCAACGUUUAUCGACAUGUCCCUUACUAAUGAUGUCCAAAGGUGGCCCAGUUACUCACCCCUCUGCAGAUGAGCUCCAGGUGGUGCUCUGAGGAAGACUGGUACCUGAUUUUCUUGACUUCCACUGGAUCACUGAUGGGCUCUUGGCACCUCAAGCAAUCAGAUUUCAGGUGUCCCAAAGCAUGUACCUCAAACCCAAGGUACUCAGCUCGUGGUGCUUGCAGAAAGGUAACUCCUUAACCCAGCAGAACUUUGAGACCUAAAGAAAAACAUUACACUCAUCUACUAUGCUGGGAACCAGCACUGAGUAAAAACCUGAGUAAAGAUGAGGAUGAGAGGAGACAAGUAUUUUAUUUUUAAACCUUAUGAAUUUCUGAGUAGUUCUCCUUUCCUAGAGAGGAAGGGAGGGUUGGGAAGAUCAGAUUUUCAAACUCUGCUCUCUCCCUGAUAACACAUAAAGACUUGUAUUACCUUUAAUUGAUGUUUCUGAGUGCAUCCUCAUUGAUUUACUCCAGCCUUGCUCUUUAUGCAGGGAACAUUCUAUUCUCAGAGCAUAAUCUAGACCCAUACAAACAAUAUAGAUGUUUCUUGAUAACAUAAUUUAGAAAGAGGAGA